rnacentral:antisense_RNA from 1 species
AAACUUUUCUCCCUGGUGGAGGAACCACUUGCAUGAGAAUAAGAGGUUGUUACCCAGGCCAUCAAACUCCAAACAGUCAUGCAACUGGAGCCUCUGAGGAUGGCCCCUUCUGCCGCAAACCCUUAGAUCAGCCUCUAGAGAAGCUUUGACUGCUGUUUCCCCAAAACAGCACCCCCUGCCAUCAGGAAGCAAAAGCCAUGUUGGUUCACCACAUGUAUCACAUCCUGAUAAUGUGAAGUGAAAAAGUAAAGCCUGGAAGCCUUUGUAAGACGACUGUGCCAGAGGAGGAAGAUAAAUAUCUCGAUGCUAUGGAGGCCUGUCAGCUCUUUGAAGUACCUGGGCAAUAUCAAGAUUUCUACUUCAGAUGAAAAAACAAACAGUUAUUCAUUGACCCUGUUGCUGACAAGAAAGAGGUGAAAGGUGAGCCCCCAGCCACGGAAAGAUCCAGCCAAGUAAGGAACUGCAAAAUACUGAAUGACUAAUUCUCCAAACAAGGAGAACAAGAAGAUUUACACUAGCCAUGCAAGGAGUCUUUGAAAGUCUAACAGACCUGACUUGAAGAGAAGGCUUUAAAC